GGGCUUCCAUGCCGUUGGCGGCGACUGAUCCUUGCAAGAUCGGUGUGAUGGGUUCGACUCCCAUGAGGUCCAC
rnacentral:tRNA from 1 species